GUCUUAUUUGGAGCCUAGAAGAUUUGUGAAUUGAUUAUGUACACGGCCAUCGGCCCUCAGCUACAAAGCCCCCAAGUUGGGAAAGGAUGACUGAGGAAGUGGAGUAGCAGAGCCGGGAACCGCUUACAUAUGUGAGGGAAGACCGCUGCCUUUCACCAGAAGGGAAUUUUCUAGGACUGGCCGGCCCCUGCUGAGAUCAGUGGAGCGUCCGUACCAUGGCCCGCAUCUCCUGUUCACUCGCCAGGCUCUCCCCACUGAGGGGGUGGGAUGUCAGCAUGCACUUGGGCCUUCCUGGGCGAUCUGCUUCUUGAGUGCAGUGCUCUCGAUCCUGGUUUCGUGCACAGCCCUGUGGGUAAGAAGUCCAGAGGGAACGUGUGCUCUCUGUUAAAACUGCUCUGGUCCUCGUCUCUUCUUACCAGAUCCCAAACUUCUGUUUCAAGGGGAGGGUUUUAAAAUGAGAUUCUAUAAGCAAAAUUGGGCAGUUUCAUCUUGGAAUAGGUUGUCAGUACAUGUUCUAAUGUUUUGUAAAACACUUCCUGUUUAAAUGUAUUGAUGUGGAUAAUAUUAAAUAUCUUAAUUAUUUAAAUAAUUCAUUGUAUUGUUUUUGAGAAGUUGAGGAAUUACCGUAAACAUUUACAACUUAAUGACUUUUGUAUUUUAUUUUUCAAAAUAAAAGCUUUAAAUGUGUGAAGCA